rnacentral:rRNA from 1 species
CUACGGGAGGCAGCAGUGGGGAAUUUUGCGCAAUGGGCGAAAGCCUGACGCAGCAACGCCGCGUGAGGGAUGAAGGUUCUCGGAUCGUAAACCUCUUUCAGACGGGAAGAACACAAUGACGGUACCGUCAGAAGAAGCCCCGGCUAACUCCGUGCCAGCGAGCCGCGGUAAUACGGAGGGGGCAAGCGUUGUUCGGAAUCAUUGGGCGUAAAGCGUAUGUAGGCGGCUAGAUAAGUCAGACGUGUAAGCCCACGGCUCAACCGUGGAAUUGCGUUUGAAACUGUCUGGCUUGAGUACGGGAGAGGAAAGCGGAAUUCCCAGUGUAGCGGUGAUAUGCAUUGAUAUUGGGAAGAACAUCGGUGGCGAAGGCGGCUUUCUGGCCCGAUACUGACGCUGAGAUACGAAAGCCAGGGGAGCAAACGGGAUUAGAUACCCCUGUAGUC